rnacentral:rRNA from 1 species
AUGAACUGUGGGUAGCGGAGAAAUUCCAAUCGAACCCGGAGAUAGCUGGUUCUCCCCGAAAUAGUUUUAGGACUAGCCUCAAGUUAGAUACCUGGAGGUAAAAGCACUGAAUAGCCUAGCGGCCGAGAGGUUAGCGAAGCUUAUCAAACUCAGAAUGCCAGAGUAUUGAUGCUUGGGAGUCAGACAGUGUCAGAUAAAUGUCAUUGUCAAAAGGGAAACAGCCCAGAUCUACAGCUAAGGUCCCAAAGUCAGGUUAAGUGGAAAACGAUGUGAAGAUACGCAGACAACCAGGAUGUUGGCUCAGAAGCAGCCACUCAUUCAAAGAGUGCGUAAUAGCUCACUGGUCGAGCGUCUUUUGCGCGGAGAAUUUAACGGGGCUAAACCUGACACCGAAGCUUAGGCAAUCCAGUAAUGGAUUGGGUAGGGGAGCGUUGUAUACGCGGAGAAACAGUAGCGUGAGCG